rnacentral:tRNA from 2 species
UUUUAUAUAGUUUAAAAUAAAACAUUACAUUUUCAUUGUAAAAAUAAAAUUUAAAUUUUUAUAAAUU